GAUGAAGAACGCAGCGAAAUGCGAUAAGUAAUGUGAAUUGCAGAAUUCAGUGAAUCAUCGAAUCUUUGAACGCACAUUGCGCCCGCCAGUAUUCUGGCGGGCAUGCCUGUCUGAGCGUCAUUUCAACCCUCAUGCCCCUAGGGCGUGGUGUUGGGGAUCGGCCAAAGCCCGCGAGGGACGGCCGGCCCCUAAAUCUAGUGGCGGACCCGUCGUGGCCUCCUCUGCGAAGUAGUGAUAUUCCGCAUCGGAGAGCGACGAGCCCCUGCCGUUAAACCCCCAACUUUCCAAGGUUGACCUCAGAUCAGGUAGAAAUACCCGCUGAACUUAAGCAUAUCAAUAAGCGGAGGA
rnacentral:misc_RNA from 1 species